UCCGAGUUGACCCCGGCAGUCUCCUAUGAGUUCCCACCAUUACGUGCUGGCAACAUAGAACGAGGGUUGCGCUCGUUGCGGGACUUAACCCAACAUCUCACGACACGAGCUGACGACAACCAUGCACCACCUGUAUACGAGUGUCCAAAGAGUUCUACAUUUCUGCAGCGUUCUCGUAUAUGUCAAGCCUUGGUAAGGUUCUUCGCGUUGCAUCGAAUUAAUCCGCAUGCUCCGCCGCUUGUGCGGGCCCCCGUCAAUUCCUUUGAGUUUUAGCCUUGCGGCCGUACUCCCCAGGCGGGGAACUUAAUGCGUUAGCUGCGACACGGAAGCCGUGGAAUGGCCCCCACAUCUAGUUCCCAACGUUUACGGCGUGGACUAC
rnacentral:misc_RNA from 1 species